GACGAACGCUGGCGGCGUGCUUAACACAUGCCAGUCGAACGCUGAAGCUUGGUGCUUGCACUGGGUGGAUGAGUGGCGAACGGGUGAGUAAUACGUGAGUAACCUGCCCUUGACUCUGGGAUAAGCCUGGGAAACUGGGUCUAAUACUGGAUACGACAUGUCACCGCAUGGUGGUGUGUGGAAAGGGUUUUACUGGUUUUGGAUGGGCUCACGGCCUAUCAGCUUGUUGGUGGGGUAAUGGCUCACCAAGGCGACGACGGGUAGCCGGCCUGAGAGGGUGACCGGCCACACUGGGACUGAGACACGGCCCAGACUCCUACGGGAGGCAGCAGUGGGGAAUAUUGCACAAUGGGCGGAAGCCUGAUGCAGCGACGCCGCGUGAGGGAUGACGGCCUUCGGGUUGUAAACCUCUUUCAGCACGGAAGAAGCGAAAGGGACGGUACGUGCAGAAGAAGCGCCGGCUAACUACGU
rnacentral:rRNA from 1 species